rnacentral:misc_RNA from 1 species
UGUGACGGUAUUUGACAUAACCUUAUUUCUCACAAUUUUUAGGUAAAUAACACGUUUUUUUUCUAUUACUUACUAACUUAUUUCACAUGAAUAAUAUCUAAAAUAAGUUAAGUUAUUAUCUUCAAACAAGUUUAGUUAACCAAUCAAAAUGGUGGUAUCUGAAGAGCAGCCCCCGGUAGUGGAAGGAGACGCGGCCGCCAGUAAGAAAGCUGCAAAGAAGGCCGCUAAAGCUGCUGAGAAACAACAGAAAAAGGCUGAACAUAAGGCAGCCUCCAACCAGCCCCAGGUUGAAGUCCCAGAGACGGACGUCUCCGUUGGCCGCUAUGGGGUACUCAAGAUGAUCCAGUCCACCGGGGAGAACCGUGACCGAGUAUACACUGACGUCAAGGAUCUGAACGUCAAGCUGAACGGACAGAAUGUUUGGGUUAGAGCCCGUCUCCAAACAUCUCGAGCUAAAGGCAAGCAGUGCUUCGCAGUGCUGAGGCAGAGCAGCAGCACUGUGCAGCUGCUCAUCAGUGUGAACGAGGAGCGAGCAGUCAGCAAGCAGAUGGUCAAGUUUACCGGCAACAUAACAAAAGAAUCAAUAAUCGACGUAUACGCGACCGUAGUGAAGACGGCUUCCCCUAUAGAGUCGUGCACAGUGGGUGACGUGGAGCUGGCGGCCACGGAGAUCUGGCUUGUGUCUGCCGCCAGGCCACAGCUGCCGCUGCAGAUUGAGGAUGCUGCUAGGCCUGAGAAGAAUGAUGACCCGGAAGCGCUUCGUAUCCGCGUGAACCAAGACACUCGGUUGGACAACCGCGUGCUGGACCUGCGCACCCCCGCCAACCAGGCCAUCUUCCGGAUAGAGGCCGGCGUCUGUCGACUCUUCAGAGAUAUACUCACUAAGCAAGGUUUCGUAGAAAUCCACACGCCAAAGAUAAUCUCCGCGGCGUCUGAGGGCGGCGCGAACGUGUUCACGGUGUCGUACUUCAAGUCGUCCGCCUACCUCGCGCAGAGCCCGCAGCUAUACAAGCAGAUGGCAAUCGCUGCUGAUUUUGAUAAGGUAUUCACAGUAGGCGCAGUGUUCCGCGCGGAGGACUCGAACACGCACCGCCACCUCACGGAGUUCGUGGGCCUCGACCUGGAGAUGUCGUUCAAGCAUCACUACCACGAGGUGCUCGACACCAUCGCCGGCAGCCUCACGCAGUUGUUCCGCAGCCUCGCACAAGAGUACGCAUCAGAGAUAGCGACAGUAGGUCAGCAGUACCGCGUGGAGCCGUUCAAGUUCCUCGAGCCCCCGCUCGUGCUGCAGUUCCCUCAGGCCAUACAGAUGCUCAGAGAAGCUGGAGUAACAGUAGGCGACGAAGACGACCUCUCAACUCCUGACGAGAAACUGCUCGGCAGACUAGUGCGAGCGAAGUACGACACCGACUUCUACGUGUUAGACAAGUACCCGCUAGCAGUCAGACCCUUCUAUACCAUGCCUGAUGCUGACAACCCGAAAGUAUCAAACUCGUAUGACAUGUUCAUGCGCGGUGAGGAGAUCCUGAGCGGAGCGCAGAGGAUACACGACCCCGAGUUCCUCACUGAGAGAGCUAAACAUCAUGGCAUCGAUAUCUCGAAGAUAGCAGCCUACAUUGAAUCGUUCAGGCUGGGAUGUCCUCCUCAUGCAGGUGGCGGUAUCGGUAUGGAGCGAGUAGUAAUGUUGUACCUGGGACUGGACAAUAUCCGCAAGACUUCGAUGUUCCCGCGCGACCCCAAGCGAGUUACGCCUUGAUUUGUAUGAAAAUCACAAUUAAAUAAUAUAUAAAAUGUGCUAUGCAACUUGUUUGAUUUUUUUAUAAUAAAAUGUUAAGUCUUGGUGUAACUUUUUAUGUGAUAAAUGUUUUUUUAAUACACUAAUUUAUAUGAGAAAGUUAAGGAACGAUAUGACAAUUUAAAGAAAGAAAGUUUUAAUAAAAUAUGUAAUGGGGAGUUUAAUUUGUAAUGAUAUGCUCAGGUUUGAAUAGGCCUUUAAUAGGUAAAUAAGAAGCCACAAAAUAUAUUGUAUACAGUUUUUAAACCAAUUCGAUCAUUAUAAAAGUUUAUUUAGAA